GAUCCUGGCUCAGGAUGAACGCUAGCUACAGGCUUAACACAUGCAAGUCGAGGGGCAGCAUUUUUCUAGCAAUUAGAAGAGAUGGCGACCGGCGCACGGGUGAGUAACACGUAUCCAACCUACCGAUAACUCCGGAAUAGCCUUUCGAAAGAAAGAUUAAUACCGGAUAGUAUACGAAUAUCGCAUGAUAUUUUUAUUAAAGAAUUUCGGUUAUCGAUGGGGAUGCGUUCCAUUAGUUUGUUGGCGGGGUAACCGG
rnacentral:rRNA from 1 species